CUGAAGCGACCAGUAAAUUGUCUACUACUUCAAAUUCCCUGCGAAUAUUUCCCAAAUCGGAUCCAUAACUAAUAGCUAAUUUUUUGUAUUUUUUUUAUGUAUUUUUCAUCGAGAUUGGUUCAGUUUACGAAGUAGGUAAAAGUACGGUAACAGAUUUUGAGGUGAGGAAAAGCGGCCGUGAGAAAGUGACCGUCAUGAUUGUUGUUGUUUUGUUUACAUAGCUUUAGGUUAUGUCUACUGUUUAUCUGCACAUAAUAAUAUCAUGUUCAAAUUGUUUAUCGGAGUCGGAUACCGAAAUUUCGCCGCCAUCAUUGUGGAAAAAUCGCGUGUGCGACUUGUGUUUUACAAGAUUUUGAGACAGAUUCGAGUGCACUGGACCUGCUCACCACACUGUAACUUAGGAGGUGUCCAAGUGUCAAGUAAAAGGAUCAUACUGAUGCAGCAUUAAUAUUAGAGAAUCCUGUCACUCUCUACUGGGAUUCUCUGUGAGGACAUUGCCAGAACAGGACGUUUAACUCAAUGAACACCAAUUCUUGUGAUCUGAUCCAACCAGAGCGGGCACCAGUUAUCAUAUUCAGACCUUUGGAGAUAGAGGGUGCUUGAUGCUCUCCAGAAAAGAGAGACCACCCUAGUCGUAUGAAUCAGACAAUCCUGUGCUCCCAUAUUCCAGAACUGGAACUGGACUUUGAGUAAAGGCAGGGUCUAUCUUGUCGCUAUCGGUGAGAUUUUCCAUACCUCAGUAGGGACUGACUGGCUUCAAAUUUUCUUGAGACGCCACAAGGAACAUCGUUUUCCCCCUGAGUCUUACCUAUCUUACUUUUUUUAGUUCUAGAAAUCACUCUUUAAAUUUAAUCGCUAAAACUCGAACGUUACAUGUAUCCUAAAGGGUUAGAAAUCAGAGUAUCAUAGUAUUUGAAGUUAGAAUAAAUAAGUCAUAGUUAGAAAGGUCUGGCAGUGUCUCUCCUCAUUAUCUGAAUAAAUUUUUUAUUUUCUUUCCUAGAUAA